rnacentral:misc_RNA from 1 species
GAUGAAGAACGCAGCAAAAUGCGAUAAGUAAUGUGAAUUGCAGAAUUCAGUGAAUCAUCGGAUCUUUGAACGCACAUUGCGCCCGCCAGUAUUCUGGCGGGCAUGCCUGUUCGAGCGUCAUUUCAACCCUCAAGCACAGCUUGGUGUUGGGACUCGCGUUAAUUCGCGUUCCCCAAAUUGAUUGGCGGUCACGUCGAGCUUCCAUAGCGUAGUAGUAAAACCCUCGUUACUGGUAAUCGUCGCGGCCACGCCGUUAAACCCCAACUUCUGAAUGUUGACCUCGGAUCAGGUAGGAAUACCCGCUGAACUUAAGCAUAUCAAUAAGCGGAGGA